GGGCCCGUAGCUUAGCCUGGCAGAGCAUUGGUCUUAUACACCAAGGGUCAGGGGUUCAAAUCCUCUCGGGCCCA
rnacentral:tRNA from 1 species